AAAGUUAGUUAGCAAUUAACAGCGAACUGCGAAUGGCUCAUUAUAUAAGUUAUCGUUUAUUUGAUAGUACCUUACUACUUGGAUAACCGUGGUAAUUCUAGAGCUAAUACAUGCUAAAAAUCCCGACUUCGGAAGGGAUGUAUUUAUUAGAUUAAAAACCAAUGCCCUUCGGGGCUCCUUGGUGAUUCAUGAUAACUCCUCGAAUCGCAUGGCCUUGUGCCGGCGAUGGUUCAUUCAAAUUUCUUCCCUAUCAACUUUCGAUGUUUGGGUAUUGGCCAAACAUGGUUGCAACGGGUAACGGAGGGUUAGGGCUCGACCCCGGAGAAGGAGCCUGAGAAACGGCUACUACAUCCAAGGAAGGCAGCAGGCGCGCAAAUUACCCAAUCCCGACACGGGGAGGUAGUGACAAUAAAUACUGAUACAGGGCUCUUUUGGGUCUUGUAAUUGGAAUGAGUACAAUUUAAAUCCCUUAACGAGGAACAAUUGGAGGGCAAGUCUGGUCCC
rnacentral:rRNA from 1 species